UACGGAAUGGGCAAGCGUUAUUCGGAAUCACUGGGCUUAAAGAGUCCGUAGGCGGCAUGUUAGGUGAGGUGUGAAAUCCCCCGGCUCAACCGAGGAAUUGCGCUUCAAACCGGCGUGCUAGAGGAAGAUAGAGGUGGGCGGAACUGAUGGUGGAGCGGUGAAAUGCGUCGAUAUCAUCAGGAACACCGGAGGCGAAGGCGGCCCACUGGGUCUUUUCUGACGCUGAGGGACGAAAGCCAGGGGAGCGAACGGG
rnacentral:rRNA from 1 species